GAGAAGUUAACUGUUAUUUUGAACUCUGAAUCUCAUAUAGACCAGUGUUCACUUUAUCUUACUCUCUCUCUCUCCUCUCUCUCACUCUCUGUCUCUGAAAUUUCUUCAGAUUUUUUAUUUGUUUCUGGUGCUCUUACUUUUCACAAUGUUGGAACUUAUUGAUGGUUCUGUCUGUGUCUAUUGGGCUGGACAUGCUUUAGGAUCUUUUAUAACCUGUACUCAGUUUGAGUAGUUUCUUGGGUUGAUUCCGUUUUGAUUUUCUCAUUUCUUUGGAAAUUUAUAAUUUUAAAAUUUUGGACCACUGAGAACAUUUUUAAAUUGUCUUAAUCUAACUUUCCACUUCUAUUCUUUUGCCUAUUCUUCUUAGAUAAUUUUUACACUUUAUUUUCAAGCCCUUCUAUUAAUAUUUUUAUUUCUGCUGUGUUAUUUCUAAGACUUACAGAUUUUAUAAUGCUAUUUUUUAGCAUCUCUCCUAUUUUGUGGAUAUGUCAUCUUUUCUCUCUGAAUAUGAUAAUGAGGCUUUCAUUUGUUUUCUAAGUUUUUAUAUCCCUAGGUAUUUACUGUUUUGAUAAUUUUUUCUUCCCUGUUUGUUUGCUUUGCUUUUUUCUUCCAAGAUAAAGCCUGGAAGCUGCACGUCACCUGCCAGCUUUGUGUGUGCCCAGUGAGUGCAGGUGGCAUAAUGACCAGCGGUGACUUGAAUGACAAGGGGACAGAACAGCUGGACAAUCCAAUUCCUAGAUGCUUUCUCCAGUUAUGGCCCUGACUGGGAUCUCCGAAGAAUGACUCAGCUGAAACUAUUUCAUCAUUGCCUACAUUUGUCUUCAGACGACCUGCAGUACAAACUUGGCUUAAACCUGCAGUUGACAAUGGAUUCACCGUGGGAGAAUAAAUUACAAUGGAUAAAAAACAGCAUUACAAUCCCUCAAUAAAAUGGGAUUUUAACAGACAAAGGUGAGUCAGUGGUGAAAGGCAGGAGAAGAUACAACAGGUAAGUGUCUGACUUCAGGCUGGAGCCCUAAUAUAAUAAUAAGUCCUUCUUGUAUUGUAAUCUCUUACAGCUGAAUCUCCAUGUGCUCUCUCUCUCUUCUAACAUCAAUGCAGCUCCUGGUAUGUGGUCGUUCUCAGGCCCAAAGGCCCAUUUUGCUUUUGGCUGCAACUCUGUAACUCUGUAACAGAGACCAAGUGCCUGCAGGGAGCAGAUGUUUGGGGCAGUAUCUGCUAAGGUGGCUUUGCUGAAACUUGUUUCUCUCAUUGGGUCUUGGAAGUGGCGAAUAGGACGUUCCUAUAGAAAAACUCAGAAAGAUAAUGAAGCUGCUAUUUGCAAGAACUGCAUCUGUCUGACUCUCAGACAGAUCUACACCAGUGUUUAGCAGACAUGCCAAAUGAUAAGAGUCAAUCACAGCCUCUGUAGAAAAUACUGGAACCCUGAUGUGGACUUACUGAAUCAGAAUCUCCAGGCAAUAAGCUUGAGAUUCUCUGAGACUGUGAAAGAUAAUCUUAAAGAGGCACUCACGAAACACAAGCUCCUUCUCCGGGAAAAAGAAUCAUCACCCUUGUUAUCCCAUGAAAAUUCAUCUUCUCCUUUUCAGCUGAUAUGAGGACUUGAUCUGUCCUUUCCUAUAAGUGCCAUCUGUGUUUAAAUGAGGCUGUUACUCUAACUCAAAGCAGACUUGCAAGAGUAAAAUAAUCAAUCUUCAUCAUAUUGCUGCACUUUCGACAGUUAAUUUUCUAGAGUAAUUUGUCAUUGUGAGGAGCAUAAGAUUUGUCUGAAUUUGUGUCAAAGGUUAUUGACUGAAUUGCCACCUCAUCUUUUCAGUCAAUCUAUAAAUAUGGGCAAGUUUGGGCAGAGGCUAAUGGCCUUCUCACUAAGGGGAUGAGAUUGUCCAAGUUAGGCAACUGAUAAGAGGUAGAAAUAUCUAUUGUGUCACCCAUUUCUUGUGGUAGCAUUGACUUAGAGUUAAUCUCAGAAACUUCACUUAACCUUCUUAAUCCUUUUCUUCCUGUAAAACAAGGCUAAAAAUUGUCAUAACUAUAUUCUAGUUUCCACAAAAGCUAAUCUAAGUAUUAAAAUUUUUAUUGUGACUUUG
rnacentral:lncRNA from 1 species